UUUCCGUAGGUGAACCUGCGGAAGGAUCAUUCAUAAUAAGUGUUUUAUGGCACUUUUUUAAAUCCAUAUCCACCUUGUGUGCAAUGUCAGGGUUGAUUUUGCCCUCGCGAGGAUCAGCCCCAAACAUCAACUAUAUCUCAACUCUUUGUCUGAAAAAUAUUAUGAAUAAAACAAUUCAAAAUACAACUUUCAACAACGGAUCUCUUGGCUCUC
rnacentral:misc_RNA from 1 species